GCCACCGUGGCGGAAUUGGCAGACGCGCCGGACUCAAAAUCCGGUUCCUCACGGAGUGUCGGUUCGACCCCGACCGGUGGUAUCA
rnacentral:tRNA from 3 species